UCCAGACUCCUACGGGAGGCAGCAGUGAGGAAUAUUGGUCAAUGGUCGGGAGACUGAACCAGCCAAGCCGCGUGAGGGAUGAAGGUACAGAGUAUCGUAAACCUCUUUUGUCAGGGAACAAAGACUGGGACGCGUCCCCGGAUGAGUGUACCUGAAGAAAAAGCAUCGGCUAACUCCGUGCCAGCAGCCGCGGUAAUACGGAGGAUGCGAGCGUUAUCCGGAUUUAUUGGGUUUAAAGGGUGCGCAGGCGGGGAUGUAAGACCGGAGUGAAACCCCGGGGCCCAACCCCGGCACCGCCGUUGAAACUGGCAGUCUCGAGUUGGAGAGAAGUAUGCGGAAUGCGCGGUGUAGCGGUGAAAUGCAUAGAUAUCGCGCAGAACUCCGAUUGCGAAGGCAGCAUGCCGGCUCCACACUGACGCUGAGGCACGAAAGCGUGGGUAUCGAACAGGAUUAGAUACCCCGGUA
rnacentral:rRNA from 1 species